UCCAAACAUUCCAACAAAAACCAAAGUCGGAUUGAGGGAGUUUCUCACCCAUCUGCUCUACGAUAUCUGGAGGAAACACUCUGGAGGCAAAAGCUCGACGGAAAAUGUCCGAGAAUUCCUUGUCCAGACCUCCAAUGCCCAUCUUCUCAAAGUUCCAGUCUGGGUUGAUGAUCGUCUGCCGGGCCUCUUUGGUCUUUGCCUUACCUACGAGUGUCAGUGAC